ensembl:lncRNA
AUGUAUGGACCUGAAUGUCUGUUCUUCUGUCUUCCAGCCAACCUUUUCACAUUCUAUAUGAUCUGCUUCCGCAAAUGUGGGAUGUCCAACACAGCCAUCAUUUACCUGGGCUGUCUGGCCAUCGUGGACACCUUCUAUCUGGUGUGGGUGAUCCUUCUUGAUCUGACUCUCACCUUCUGGCUUCUGCAGCCCUUCUGGCACUCCCAUCCCUGGUGUGGCAUCUUGGCGUUCCUGCAGUAUGGUUCACUCUGCAGCUCCUCCUGGAUCGUGGUUGUGUUCAUCAUUGAGCGCUACCUCGUUCUACGCAGCACAGUGGCCAAGCAGCACUUCUCCCAGGCCUGGGUGACUAAACUGACGUGCGUUGCUAUCGUCCUGGUUUCACAUCUUGUCUCUGUGCCGCCGGCCUGGAUCAACAUUGUCGCGCCAGUCAACCUCUCCAUGAACGGGGAGAAUAUGACGCUGCCUAGGUGUAUAUACCGCGAUAAGGUGUACUCUACAGUUAUUGUGUGGAUAACCACCUUCCUCUCAGGGGGAAUCCCCAUCGUUUUGGUCAUUAUCUUCAACUACCUGAUCGGGUACCAUUUGUGCCGAGCCACGAACCUCUUCACCAAGGAAGAGCGCCGCGUCAUGCACGGGAAGAGCACUAGGGGCAUGUUGAAGAGGACCAUCCUGGUGCUGGGCACCGUCUCUGUGGCCUUCGUCCUCCUCAGCCUGCCCCGCUUUGUCACGUACUGUAUCCUCAGGACCAUGUACAACGACGUGAACUUCGACAGGGACGACUACAGCCUCCCCAUCAAUGUGGCCGGAGACUUGGCCAACAUGCUGCAGAACCUCAACUCCACCACCAACUUCUUGCUGUACUGCAUGGUCAGCCGGCGCUUCCGGCGCGAGCUCGUCCAGGUGGCCACGUGCAAAGCGAGGGCCCUUGACCUCGGCUCUGUCCUCACCCACACCACCAUGAAAGUCUUCUCAGUGAUAGAUCAUAAGGCGUCGCCAACCAGUCGCCCUGCAACUGUGGUCCUAACCAAUCUUAAACUCAGAGAGUAG